rnacentral:ncRNA from 12 species
AUAAUUAGAAGUAGAAAGUGGCUCUCUACACACUCGAAAGAAUACCUGAGAUGCAGGAUACGCCACCCUGCCUAAUUAU